rnacentral:rRNA from 1 species
AGAGUUUGAUCAUGGCUCAGGAUGAACGCUGGCGGCGUGCCUAAUACAUGCAAGUCGAACGAGGUGCUUUUGUAGCAAUACGAGAGUAUCCUAGUGGCGAACGGGUGAGUAACGCGUUGGUGACCUACCCCAAAGUGUGGGAUAACAGUCCGAAAGGAUUGCUAAUACCGCAUGUGGUCAUUGGAUUUAGAAACCGAUGUCUAAAGGAGCAAUUCGCUUUGGGAGGGACCUGCGUCCCAUCAGCUAGUUGGUGAGGUAACGGCUCACCAAGGCGACGACGGGUAGGGGACCUGAGAGGGUGACCCCCCACAAUGGAACUGAAACACGGUCCAUACACCUACGGGUGGCAGCAGUAGGGAAUAUUGCUCAAUGGGCGAAAGCCUGAAGCAGCAACGCCGCGUGUGUGAUGAAGGCCUUCGGGUCGUAAAGCACUUUUCUGGGAGAUGAGAAAGGACAGUAUCCCAGGAAUAAGUCUCGGCUAACUACGUGCCAGCCGCCGCGGUAAUAC